GCGCCUCCUUUCCUUUCUGCGCAUGCGCACGCCGAAUGCAUGGUCUCUCAGAAUGAUACCGUGCGCGAGCACAGUGAUGCACUGUCCCCUUUGCACACUACAGCACUACCAUUAGCCAUCCAGACUAACAAAACAACGACCCCUGGUUGUGGAGCUUGGAAUGGAGCAUCAGCAGAGGAAUAAUAGGUCGGCUUUUACACUGUGGGCAGAUUGCUCACGUCAUAUAUCUGCUGUCUGGGCCUUUUGCCUGCAAGUUGCCCUUCGUGGAACAUAAAGACCAAUUGGUACAUUGAGUCAAUGGCAUGCUGCUUGUCAACGAUAUUAUCCCUUCAACACUUACUUCUAAACCCUGUAACACAUCCUUGGACAAAAGCGGCAGUCCAGUGGAGGACAGGCAGGCUGCAAAGACAGAAGUUCCACCUCAGACUGUAUAGGCAAUGGGAGGAGAGCUAGCCGGCCCGCUGGUGCACAAGAGACAGAGAGAGAGGCGCGGGACGGCUAUGAAAAACUGAAUCAGCGCAAUGUUCUAUCAGAUCUUAAUUGGACCUGCUCACAGGAGCACCUUCAAAGUGUUGACUUUCUCUGAAAAUGCUUCCUUUGUGAGAGAAUAAAAUCAACAUACUAAUUCGGCAUGUGAAAAAAUGUAGAGCUUGGUGUUUGAGAUGUAUUGAAAACUAAGAAGUUGCCUGUCCCAUCGUUCAUGGCAACUACAUCUACAAACUGAAAAAAAGAAAUGUCUUUGUACCGAACAGAAAUAAAAUCUUCAAUGAUUACACAUGUGC